rnacentral:rRNA from 1 species
GAUGAACGCUGGCGGCGUGCCUAAUACAUGCAAGUCGAGCGAACAGACGAGGAGCUUGCUCCUCUGACGUUAGCGGCGGACGGGUGAGUAACACGUGGAUAACCUACCUAUAAGACUGGGAUAACUUCGGGAAACCGGAGCUAAUACCGGAUAAUAUAUUGAACCGCAUGGUUCAAUAGUGAAAGACGGUUUUGCUGUCACUUAUAGAUGGAUCCGCGCCGCAUUAGCUAGUUGGUAAGGUAACGGCUUACCAAGGCAACGAUGCGUAGCCGACCUGAGAGGGUGGUCGGCCACACUGGAACUGAGACACGGUCCAGACUCCUACGGGAGGCAGCAGUAGGGAAUCUUCCGCAAUGGGCGAAAGCCUGACGGAGCAACGCCGCGUGAGUGAUGAAGGUCUUCGGAUCGUAAAACUCUGUUAUUAGGGAAGAACAAAUGUGUAAGUAACUAUGCACGUCUUGACGGUACCUAAUCAGAAAGCCACGGCUAACUACG